AUUGAACGCUGGCGGCAGGCUUAACACAUGCAAGUCGAACGAGUGGCGGACGGGUGAGUAAUGUCUGGGAAACUGCCCGAUGGAGGGGGAUAACUACUGGACACGGUAGCUAAUACCGCAUCCCAUCGGAUGUGCCCAGAUGGGAUUAGCUAGUUGGUGGGGUAACGGCUCACCUAGGCCACGAUCCCUAGCUGGUCUGAGAGGAUGACCAGCCACACUGGAACUGAGACACGGUCCAGACUCCUACGGGAGGCAGCAGUGGGGAAUAUUGCACAAUGGGCGCAAGCCGGAUGCAGCCAUGCCGCGUGUAUGAAGAAGGCCUUCGGGUUGUAAAGUACUUUCAGCGAGGAGGCGUUACCCGCAGGAGAAGCACCGGCUAAGUCCGUGCCAGCAGCCGCGGUAAUAC
rnacentral:rRNA from 1 species